rnacentral:rRNA from 6 species
CAAACGACUCUCGGCAACGGAUAUCUCGGCUCACGCAUCGAUGAAGAACGUAGCAAAAUGCGAUACUUGGUGUGAAUUGCAGAAUCCCGUGAACCAUCGAGUUUUUGAACGCAAGUUGCGCCCAAAGCCUUUUGGCCGAGGGCACGUCUGCCUGGGCGUCACAC